rfam:Ciona savignyi cont_62971, whole genome shotgun sequence.
AUCGCUUCUCGGCUCUUUUGAGCUAAGAUCAAGUGUAGUAUCUGUUCUUCUCAGUUUAAUACCUGGGACGGAAACGAUUCGUUUCCUCUAUGUAUUAAUCGGAUUUUUGAACUUGUAGUAUGGUGCUGGAGCUUGCUCCUCCCUGCUCACGGGUUGUAUUGGUAUUGCAGUACCUCCAGCUUCGCCUCACGUUUC